AGAAGAAAGGUGGCGAGAAGAUGGCUCU
rnacentral:piRNA from 1 species